rnacentral:rRNA from 1 species
CAGCAGCCGCGGUAAUACGGAGGGUGCAAGCGUUAUCCGGAUUUAUUGGGUUUAAAGGGUGCGUAGGCGGUGGAAUAAGUCAGUGGUGAAAAACUGCAGCUCAACUGAAAUGCUGCCGUUGAUACUGUUUUACUUGAAUAACCAUGAUGUGGGCGGAAUGUGGGGUGUAGCGGUGAAAUGCUUAGAUAUUACACAGAACAUCGAUUGCGAAGGCAGCUUACUAAAGGUUCAUUGACGCUGAUGCACGAAAGCGUGGAGAUCAAACAGGAUUAGAUACCCUGGUAGUCCACGCCGUAAACGAUGAUAACUCGCUGUUGGCGAUACACAGUCGGCGGCUUAGCGAAAGCGAUAAGUUAUCCACCUGGGGAGUACGAUCGCAAGGGUGAAACUCAAAGGAAUUGACGG